GCAGGGAAAUGCAAACAGCCGGGAUAACUAAACCACAUGCUAUUGGUGUUCCAAAGAAAAUAUGGAUUGGGGAUGAAGAUGGAGGAGCUGAGGGCAGACAGAGAAAAACUGGAAGUGCCUCUUGCAGCCCUAACUUGGUGUAAAGUGUUUGGGGCUGUUUUGUGGAGAUGCUAGAAUACGAUGGAUGAACAGAGGUAAGAAGC